AUUGAACGCUGGCGGCAUGCUUUACACAUGCAAGUCGAACGGUAACAGGCCGCAAGGUGCUGACGAGUGGCGAACGGGUGAGUAAUGCAUCGGAACGUGCCCAGUCGUGGGGGAUAACGCAGCGAAAGCUGUGCUAAUACCGCAUACGAUCUAUGGAUGAAAGCGGGGGACCGUAAGGCCUCGCGCGAUUGGAGCGGCCGAUGUCAGAUUAGGUAGUUGGUGGGGUAAAGGCUCACCAAGCCAACGAUCUGUAGCUGGUCUGAGAGGACGACCAGCCACACUGGGACUGAGACACGGCCCAGACUCCUACGGGAGGCAGCAGUGGGGAAUUUUGGACAAUGGGCGCAAGCCUGAUCCAGCAAUGCCGCGUGCAGGAAGAAGGCCUUCGGGUUGUAAACUGCUUUUGUACGGAACGAAAAGGUUUGGGUUAGUACCCUGGGCCGAUGACGGUACCGUAAGAAUAAGCACCGGCUAACUACGUGCCAGCCGCCGCGGUAACAC
rnacentral:rRNA from 1 species